rnacentral:misc_RNA from 1 species
CGCACAUUGCGCCCCUUGGUAUUCCGAGGGGCAUGCCUAUUCGAGCGUCAUUAUCACCCCUCAAGCUCAGCUUGGUGUUGAGGCCUGCUGUCAAGGCAGCCUCUAAAAGCAGUGGCAGUGCUGUCAGGCUCUAAGCGUAGUAAUCUCUCUCGCUACAGACACCUGAUGGACACUCGCCAGAACCCCCCAUCUUUUAAUGAUUGACCUCGGAUUAGGUAGGGAUACCCGCUGAACUUAA